AUACGGAGGGUCCGAGCGUUAUCCGGAAUCAUUGGGUUUAAAGGGUCCGUAGGCGGGAAUCUAAGUCAGUGGUGAAAUCUUGCAGCUCAACUGUAAAAUUGCCAUUGAUACUGGGUUUCUCGAAUUAGUGUGAAGUGGUUAGAAUGUGUAGUGUAGCGGUGAAAUGCAUAGAUAUUACACAGAAUACCAAUUGCGAAGGCAGAUCACUAACACUAUAUUGACGCUGAGGGACGAAAGCGUGGGGAGCGAACAGGAUUAGAUACCCCAGUAGUCC
rnacentral:rRNA from 1 species